UCCUUUUGUCUAGUGGUUAAGAUGUUCGGCUCGGGACCCAAAGGUCUCCGGUUCAAUACAAGAUAAGGAG